UAUAACGUUCCAGGUCUUCUGCUUGUGGCUUGAUCUGCAUCGUUCCACAUGCUCUCCAACUGCCCCACGAACCACGGCCCAGCACAGCGCAUCUCAGAGAGAUUUGGCACACUCAGGCUGUCAUGUGGAGGGAGGAGGCGGAGGGCAACGGGCAGAAGCGAGACCCGUGAGGAAGCUCUGGAUGAUAGAAGAUGGUGGCCUGAAUUGGGAGAUUUAACUGAGGCCUCCUCGCUGUGUGCAGAAGACUCCAGGGCACUCUGUGUAGCCAAGCAAGAAAGUGAGAAACCAGACUUUAAACUGUCAUUUAAUCAAGGAACAAAAAUAAAUUCUUAAUUAGGCUUUGCUGACUGCAUAUCAAUUACAGUUCCAU